rnacentral:lncRNA from 1 species
CCGGAGCACCGGGGGGGCGGCACGCGCUGGUGUGGCUUGCACACGCGUGUGCAAAUCCUCGUGGGCUGUGGCCUGGAGCCCUGCAGCUUGCACGCUUGUGCACACUCGGACACGCUUGUGCACACACACACACACGCCUUGCACACGCACCCACUGGGCUUGCACCAACACCCCCUCUUGCACACCCACCUUGCACCAACACCCCCAGAUCUUGCACCAACACCCCCUCUUGCACACCCACCUUGCACCAACACCCAUUGGGCUUGCACCAACACCCCCUCUUGCGCACACACCUUGCACCAACACACGCUCGUGCACACCUGCCUCACACCGACAGCCCCUGGUCUUGCACCAACACACCCCCUUGCACACCCACCUUGCACCAAUACCUGCUAGUCUUGCACCAACACCCCCCUCUUGCACACCUACCUUGCACCAGCACACUCUCUUGCACACUCACCUUGCACCAACACCCCCAGGUCUUGCACCGACACCCCCUUGUACACACCCACCUUGCACCCUCACCCUCUUGCACACCCGCCUUGCACAAGCACACCGUUGUGCACACCCACCUUGCACCAAAACAUCCUUUUGCACACCCACCUUGCAUCAACACCCAGUGGUCUUGCACUAACUCACCUUCUUGCACACCCACUUGCACCAACACCCGCCUGUCUUGCACCAACACCCCCUUUUGCACACCCACUUGCACCAACACCCACUGCUCUUGCACUAACACCCUCUCUUGCACACCCACCUUGCACUAACUCACCCUUUUGCACACCCACUUGCACCAACACCCGGUGUUCUUGCACCAGCACCCCCUCUUGCACACCUACCUGACACCAGCUCACCCUCUUGCACACUCACCUUGCACCAACACCCCCCCACCUUGCACCCUCACCCUCUUGCACACCCGCCUUGCACAAGCACACCGUUGUGCACACCCACCUUGCACGGAGGGGGGGGGCGGGAAAGGGGGCGGCGGGGAAGGGCCGGAGCACCGGGGGGGCGGCACGCGCUGGUGUGGCUUGCACACGCGUGUGCAAAUCCUCGUGGGCUGUGGCCUGGAGCCCUGCAGCUUGCACGCUUGUGCACACUCGGACACGCUUGUGCACACACACACACACGCCUUGCACACGCACCCACUGGGCUUGCACCAACACCCCCUCUUGCACACCCACCUUGCACCAACACCCCCAGAUCUUGCACCAACACCCCCUCUUGCACACCCACCUUGCACCAACACCCAUUGGGCUUGCACCAACACCCCCUCUUGCGCACACACCUUGCACCAACACACGCUCGUGCACACCUGCCUCACACCGACAGCCCCUGGUCUUGCACCAACACACCCCCUUGCACACCCACCUUGCACCAAUACCUGCUAGUCUUGCACCAACACCCCCCUCUUGCACACCUACCUUGCACCAGCACACUCUCUUGCACACUCACCUUGCACCAACACCCCCAGGUCUUGCACCGACACCCCCUUGUACACACCCACCUUGCACCCUCACCCUCUUGCACACCCGCCUUGCACAAGCACACCGUUGUGCACACCCACCUUGCACCAAAACAUCCUUUUGCACACCCACCUUGCAUCAACACCCAGUGGUCUUGCACUAACUCACCUUCUUGCACACCCACUUGCACCAACACCCGCCUGUCUUGCACCAACACCCCCUCUUGCACACCUACCUGACACCAGCUCACCCUCUUGCACAC